rnacentral:rRNA from 1 species
UACGUAGGGUGCAAGCGUUGUCCGGAUUUAUUGGGUUUAAAGGGUGCGUAGGCGGCCCUGUAAGUCAGUGGUGAAAUCCCAUCGCUCACCGAUGGAACUGCCGCUGAUACUGUCGAGCUUGAGGACAGUAGGGGAGAGUGGAACUCCUGGUGUAGCGGUGAAAUGCGUAGAUAUCAGGAGGAACGCCGGUGGCGAAAGCGACUCUCUGGGCUGUUCCUGACACUGAUGCGCGAAAGCUAGGGGAGCAAACAGG